AUUGAACGCUGGCGGCAGGCCUAACACAUGCAAGUCGAGCGGGGGAAUGGAUCUUGCUCCUGGAUGCAGCGGCGGACGGGGGAGUAAUGCCUAGUAAUCUGCCUUGUAGUUGGGGAUAACGUCCGGAUACGGGCGCUAAUACCGCAUGCGUCCUGAGGGAGAAAGUGGGGGAUCUUCGGACCUCACGCUAUCAGAUGAGCAUAGGUUGGAUUAGCUAGUUGGUGGGGUAAAGGCCUACCAAGGCGACGAUCCGUAACUGGUCUGAGAGGAUGAUCAGUCACACUGGAACUGAGACACGGUCCAGACUCCUACGGGAGGAAGCAGUGGGGAAUCUUGGACAAUGGGCGAAAGCCUGAUCCAGCAAUGCCGCGUGUGUGAAGAAGGUCUUCGGCUUGUAAAGCAAUUUAAGUUGGGAGGAAGGGCAGUAAGUUAAUACCUUGCUGUAUUGACGGUACCAGCAGAAUAAGCACCGGCUAACUUCGUG
rnacentral:rRNA from 1 species